GUAUUUGAGGAUAAGGGCUUGUUCACCGUUGAGUUUGGAGUUGAGGUCUUAGCAAUUGAAGGUGGAUGAGAACUUGGGAGGGAGAGGGACACAGAUUUCUUGGUCGAUGGCUGUUUUUGAGACUUGGAAUCAGGAACAAGAUCACCGCGGUCGGUUACAAAGGAGGAGGAAGAUGAGGAGGAGGAGGAUAUAUAAAGGGCAGAGGUGGCAGAGAGCUUAACUCCAGUGAGAAGGAACCUAUUAUGCUUCUGGGUAUGCUCGUUGGCCUUGUGUAUCGAAACAUCACAGUCUCUGCAAAGAAUCGCUCUAUCUUGUUGACAAAACAAGAAAGCCCGUUUCUCCUGGCAGACAUCACAGAGAGGGGAGUUUUUAGAUGUAGGAUGGACAAGGGAAAAACGUUGGUGCUUGGAGGCGAGUUUGUUGGCGUGGUGGACGCGGUGGUCGCAGGCGUCACAGAGGGCACCCUCGUCGGCCGUGCAGAACACGGACGCCUCUUCUUUGCUACAGACAUCGCACUGGAUCUUCAUCUAGUAGUAGAACUGAGGGUAUAACCUAUAAUAUGCUAAGCCAGCCUUCUAAAGAUAGAAAGAAAGCUGUUUUCCGAGGCAAAGGAAAGCAAUAGCUGUUAUGGU
rnacentral:misc_RNA from 1 species